UUGUCUCAAAGAUUAAGCCAUGCAUGUCUCAGUACAAGCCAAAUUAAGGUGAAACCGCGAAAGGCUCAUUAAAUCAGUUAUGGUUCCUUAGAUCGUACCCACAUUUACUUGGAUAACUGUGGUAAUUCUAGAGCUAAUACAUGCAAACAGAGUUCCGACCGGAGACGGGAGGAAUGCUUUUAUUAGAUCAAAACCAAUCGGCGGCGGGCGCGCUCGCGCGCCCGUUCGCCGCUCAACUUGGUGACUCUGAAUAACUUUCGGCUGAUCGCACGGUCUCGAACCGGCGACGCAUCUUUCAAAUGUCUGCCUUAUCAACUGUCGAUGGUAGGUUCUGCGCCUACCAUGGUCGUAACGGGUAACGGGGAAUCAGGGUUCGAUUCCGGAGAGGGAGCCUGAGAAACGGCUACCACAUCCAAGGAAGGCAGCAGGCGCGCAAAUUACCCACUCCCGGCACGGGGAGGUAGUGACGAAAAAUAACGAUACGGGACUCAUCCGAGGCCCCGUAAUCGGAAUGAGUACACUUUAAAUCCUUUAACGAGGACCCAUUGGAGGGCAAGUCUGGUGCCAGCAGCCGCGGUAAUUCCAGCUCCAAUAGCGUA
rnacentral:rRNA from 1 species